AGAGCGAACGCUGGCGGCAGGCCUAACACAUGCAAGUCGAGCGCCCGUAGCAAUGCGGGAGCGGCAGACGGGAUAGUAACACGUGGGAACGCGCCCUUCGGUUCGGAAUAACUCAGGGAAACUUGAGCUAAUACCGGAUACGCCCUUACGGGGAAAGAUUUAUUGCCGAAGGAACGGCCCGCGUCCGAUUAGCUAGUUGGUGAGGUAAUGGCUCACCAAGGCGACGAUCGGUAGCUGGUCUGAGAGGAUGACCAGCAUCACUGGGACUGAGACACGGCCCAGACUCCUACGGGAGGCAGCAGUGGGGAAUAUUGGACAAUGGGCGCAAGCCUGAUCCAGCCAUGCCGCGUGGAUGAUGAAGGCCUUAGGGUUGUAAAGUCCUUUUAACGGGGAAGAUAAUGACGGUACCCGUAGAAUAAGCCCCGGCUAACUUCGCGCCAGCAGCCGC
rnacentral:rRNA from 1 species